GGCGAACGCUGGCGGCGUGCUUAACACAUGCAAGUCGAACGGAAAGGCCCCUUUGGGGGUACUCGAGUGGCGAACGGGUGAGUAACACGUGAAUAACCUGCCCUUGACUUCGGGAUAACUUCAGGAAACUGGGGCUAAUACCGGAUAGGAAUCCUUGCUGCAUGGUGGGGGUUGGAAAGCUUCGGCGGUUUUGGAUGGACUCGCGGCUUAUCAGCUUGUUGGUGGGGUAGUGGCUUACCAAGGCUUUGACGGGUAGCCGGCCUGAGAGGGCGACCGGCCACAUUGGGACUGAGAUACGGCCCAGACUCCUACUGGAGGCAGCAGGGGGGAAUAUUGCACAAUGGGCGGAAGCCUGAUGCAGCAACGCCGCGUGCGGGAUGACGGCCUUCGGGUUGUAAACCGCUUUCAGCAGGGGCGAAGCUUGUGGUGACGGUACCUGCAGAAGAAGCACCGGCUAACUACGUG
rnacentral:rRNA from 1 species